rnacentral:rRNA from 1 species
AACGUAGGACGCGAGCGUUAUCCGGAGUUACUGGGCGUAAAGCGCGUGCAGGCGGUCUGCCAAGUCUGAUGUGAAAUCUCCGGGCUUAACCGGGAGAGGCCAUUGGAAACUGACAGGCUGGAGGGCAGUAGAGGUAGGCGGAAUUCCGGGUGGAGUGGUGAAAUGCGUAGAGAUCCGGAGGAACCCCAGAGGCGAAGGCGGCCUACUGGGCUGCACCUGACGCUGAGCCGCGAAAGCCAGGGGAGCGAACGGG